UACGUAGGGGGCAAGCGUUGUCCGGAUUUAUUGGGCGUAAAGAGCUCGUAGGCGGUUUCGUAAGUCGAGUGUGAAAAAUCUGGGCUCAACCCAGUGGAGCACUCGAUACUGCGGUGACUGGAGUACGGUAGAGGAGUGUGGAAUUCCUGGUGUAGCGGUGAAAUGCGCAGAUAUCAGGAGGAACACCAGCGGCGAAGGCAGCACUCUGGGCCGGUACUGACGCUGAGGAGCGAAAGCGUGGGGAGCAAACAGG
rnacentral:rRNA from 1 species